AACUAGUUGAAUAAGAGGUCUGAUGAAACUAGUAUGAACUUGAAUCAGAAACAAAGAGACUUAGAGAGAUUAAGAGAUUAGAGACUAAGAAAGGGGUAGAUUAAGGGAAUCUGAUCAAGAACACACUUUUAUAUUUAUGAAGGAGAUGGGGAAAACCCCCAUACUCUCUUAAGAGAGUUACAAACGCCCAUGAGGGUCUUUAUAUAGGUUUUACACUCUUGCAAACUCAUAAACCUAUAUCUAAUGGAUAGAAAUAACUUAAGAGGAAUGGAUGGUGAGGAUGAGUUGGUCUUGUUGUAAUCUGAGUGAUGUGUGCUGAUUGGAUAAGCUAAGCUGGCUCACUUUAAUUCAAACCAAGGCAAGCUGGCUCCUUGCUUGUGAUUGGCUCUCCUUAGGCUCCUACUAAUCUUCCCAUGCAUCUGUCCAGGUUCAUGGUCGUGGCUCCCUUCUCUUUACAGCAAGAGACAGCCUGUCCAAGACCAGAACUAGCCAAUCACACACAAGGAAGCUCCCAUUGGUUGUUUGCCUCCACAAAGCAUCUUCUUGAUUCCCUUUGACUAGAUUCAAACCUUGGUGCCUUAUCCAUAUACUAUGCACACUCUUCACAUCCUGAAUAGUGACCCAAAUAGUGAAUAGUCAACCUGAAUAGUGACUAGUGAUUCACUAUUCACUUUUACACAAACUUGCCCAAACUUCUCCAAUCUUACUGUGGUAACUUUCCAAAGUUACUGUGGUAACUUUGGAGUUACUGUCUGACCCAAAUCUUCUCCAAAUGGUGUCUAAGUCCCUCCUGGACUUAACCCUAUCUUUGCACACUCAUCAGACCACUUCUGAAGCCUUAAGACUCUCCCAAAGCCUUAACAUACAAUCUCUGAAGAUCUUGCCAUGUCUUUGCACAAGCACCAACUCAACUCAUCACUUUUGCUUCUCCACUUCUUCUCUUCAAGUUAACACUCCCCCUCAAGCUUGACUCUAGCUGAUCCUAAGUCAAGCUUGGAACCUUGAAGAACUUCCUCAUUAAAAACCUCACCAAGGAAAACCCUUUGGGACAAAACCUUGAUGAGGGAAAAAGAGUAAAGUCUCCAAGGCUUAGGGAUUGGCCAGUGAGUCUUUGUGCCUUACCAACAAUGUAAGGGACACAAAGACUCUGGAUCAUGGCCUCUACAAUCAUCCCACGCCUUGUACUCUCCUUACUGCCUAAUCUUGGUCUCUCCCCCUUUCACCUAACCUCUUGUUAGGUUGAAGUGCUCGGACACACCAGAUCAGCCUCUUCUUGGAGAUACAACUUCUCUUACUGAGUCUUGGCUGCUUCUUCUUCUUAUAGAGUCGCCACCUUGUUGCUUGAGCUACAUGAGGAUGCUUCAGACACUCUCCAAUCACCUCAACACUUGAAGCCGCCUUGGACAUUGCUUCUUCAUCCUUCAUCAUACUUCUCAACAGGUUGCUUCCUCUUCUAGAAUAACCACCAAGCUCUCUUGGAUCAUGUAAGCUUCAACACUCCCCCUCAAGCUUGAGACUCUCACAGGAACAAGCUUGAAUGGAUUGCUUCAUGAUCCUCACGCACACACCAUUGCCGCUCCUCUUCUGAUCUUGCCAUCUUCAUGGAAUGCUUGUGGAAGCUUCAGCUAUCUCUCCAAUCACUUCACACUAGAAGCCGCCUUGAUAGAGUUGCCUUCAUCUUCUCACAGCCAAGAGUACUCUGUCUUAGUUUGAGUACUCUCUUGAAUAGACUCGCCACAGCCUAAGCCCGGAUGGCUCCUUCUUCAGAUGCUUGCAAUGGACUUCUUGGAUCGCUUGGAAACUCACUAAACUCCCCUCCUCAAGCUUGGAUUGAGUAUAGGUCCAAGCUUGCAAGUGAGCUUCAGUGACACUUCACACCAGUGGCGCAUCACCACUUCUCUCUCAACUCUCCAUUGCUCCACACAAUGGGCAAAGUCUUCCUCUUUCAACUCGGAUGGAUGGUGAACCAAGAACACCUCUUGUGAACCUGAAACAUCACUCAAACUCCAGCAAAGAUAAGACACAAGUGCAUUGGGUCAACCCUUGAUGCAUCAUCAAGUUUGAACACCAAUGUCUUUAAGCAAUGCAACAGAUUAAACUAGACAUUUUCAAGUUCUAAUCUUUGCAAGCAAACUCUCUAAGCACUAGCAUGAUCCUAACAGAUUCAAUACAAGCUACUUAGGCAAUUUUUAAAGCUUCUUUACUCAGCAUUUAGACAUGAAUCUAAUGCUUCAAUGUAAGACAGCCAUUUGACAGUAUGCACUAACCCUAAUCAGUUUUAAUUCAUGAAUGCAACAAUACAAUUCAUCACACAUUCAUUUAUAACUUAGGCUAAGCAUUACUAUCAUCACUUAACAUCAGACAAUGCAUUACUUUCAAUCUGUUUUCAGUUCAUGAGCUUCAAACAAUAUCAUUUCACAUUUAGCAAACUCAUUACUUAACAGGAGCAAGCAUUUUACUCUUUAAACACUAAACAAGCCUUUAAAGCAUCCUGGGACAGAUUCAACUAAUUAUAUUUAGCAAUCACACAUUAUCCUCAGGGUUUUUCAAUCAAUACACAUCACAAUAACCAGGCACAGUCACAACACAAGCUCAUUAUCAAGAAGGGAAAGUAAUAGCUUACAGCCAAGGAACCGGUUUGGUUCCUUGAACCUCCAAUGGCUUAUGGCUCAUGGUUUUGUUGGACAUGAGAGUAUGGAUCGUCACCCAGCCUCUCCUCCUUCUACUCAUGGCCACCUUCUUGUUUCUACAGCUCAAACACCCCUCCUUUCUUCAUACUUCAAGUCGCCAUCUUCAUGACAAUCUACUCUUCUUGUAGCCGGAUGCAAGCAGCUCAUGGACAAGGAGUUUUGGCCUGAGGUUCAUGACGCCUCUCCAUCCUCCUUUGCUUCCAAGGUGGCUCUUCAUCAAGACAGGUAUGAGAAAGGUUUGAGGAACCAGAAUGACACGCCAAGCUUCAGUCUUCAUGGAGAAGCUGAACCGGAUGGAGCUGUCUUCUUCAUGGCUUGGAUUUGAGCUGAGGUGAGAGCUGUGGAUUUGCGGAAGCUCAGCUCAGGUUCUGAUGAACCUGGCUCUGAUACCAUAUGAGAUUUGAGAGCUCUGGCUGUGUAUGUGUAAGAAAAGCCAUUAAAGGCAAAGAUAAGGUCUUGAACUAGUUGAAUAAGAGGUCUGAUGAAACUAGUAUGAACUUGAAUCAGAAACAAAGAGACUUUGAGAGAUUAAGAGAUUAGAGACUAAGAAAGGGGUAGAUUAAGGGAAUCUGAUCAAGAACACACUUUUAUAAUUAUGAAGGAGAUGGGGAAAACCCCCAUACUCUCUUAAGAGAGUUACAAACGCCCAUGAGGUCUUUAUAUAGGUUUUACACUCUUGCAAACUCAUAAACCUAUAUCUAAUGGAUAGAAAUAACUUAAGAGGAAUGGAUGGUGAGGAUGAGUUGGUCUUGUUGUGAUCUGAGUGAUGUGUGCUGAUUGGUUGAGCUAAGCUGGCUCACUUUAAUUCAAACAAGGCUGUGCUGUGAUUGGCUCUCCUUUGGCUCCUUUGUAUCUGUCUACAGAUCAGUCUAGGUGCAUGGUCGUGGCUGCUCUUCCUUUACAGCAACAGCCAGCCUGUCCAUGCCCCCAAGUAACCAAUCAGCUCCACACAGCAUCUUCUUGAUUCCCUUUGACUAGAUUCAAACCUUGGUGCCUCACAUCCUGAAUAGUGAUCCAAAUAGUGAAUAGUCAACCUGAAUAGUGACUAGUGAUUCACUAUUCACUUUUACACCAACUUGCCCAAACUUCUCCAAUCUUACUGUGGUAACUCUCCAAAGUUACUGUGGUAACUUUGGAGUUACUGUCUGACCCAAAUCUUCUCUAAAUGGUGUCUAAGUCCCUCCUGGACUUAACCCUAUCUUUGCACACUCAUCAGACCACUUCUGAAGCCUUAAGACUCUCCCAAAGCCUUAACAUACAAUCUCUGAAGAUCUUGCCAUGUCUUUGCACAAUCACCAACUCAACUCAUCACUUUUGCUUCUCCACUUCUUCUCUUCAAGUUAACACUCCCCCUCAAGCUUGACUCUAGCUGAUCCUAAGUCAAGCUUGGAACCUUGAAGAACUUCCUCAUUAAAAACCUCACGCUCUCUCCUCAGCUCAAAUCCAAACCAGUGAAGCUCUCUCCAUCCGGUUCAGCCUCUUAUGAAGAAGAAGACUGAAGCUUGGCGAGUUCUCAUGGUUCCUCAUCCUGUUCUCUUCCUGUCCUGAUGGUGGUUCUCAUUGGAAGCAAAGGUGUAUGGACAAGGCCUAGCUAUCCUUGUACCAAGGCGCCUUGUCCAAGAGAAGAUCACAUCCGGUUCCAAAGAAGAUGGUGUCAAGAGCUUGGCGCCUAGUGGAGAUGAAGAAAGGAGGGGUCUUUGAAGCUGAUGGUACAAGAAGGGGGCCAUGAACUGAAGGUGAAGGAGGUGGGUGACGAUCCAUACUCUCAAGACCAG
rnacentral:lncRNA from 1 species